ACCACCCAUGUGUGUCUCCUCUGCAGACCUACCCUCAGGCCUACACAGGUGGAGGAGACCACUACCCCUUCCCGGCACCAUCGGGACCCCCAGGACCCCCAGUACCCCACCUGAAUCAGCCCGGGUACCAAGGGUACCAGAGGGAGCAGCCAAAAACCACAGUGUUCGUGGCUGAUCCAAGCCGUGGCAGCAGCGGUGACUCUUAGAGCUCGUGUCUGGCGGGCUGCUUAGCCGCUAUGUGCUGCUGCUUUCUCUUGGACAUUUUCUAAAAACCUCUGGCCAUCUACAGCCAUCAACACAUGUAGGAAUCUGUUUUAAUUUGGGGUUUUAUAUCUUAUAUCUGUCUGAUUGUGUGUUUGAAUGUUACUUCACUGUUGUGAUGACUCUCAUGACGUCACAUCUGAUUUUAUGGGAAUGAGAGAAAUAAAAACAUGAACAUGAAAUAAGA